rnacentral:rRNA from 1 species
CUAUGGAAGCUUGCUUCCACUGAGAAGAUAGUGGCGAACGGGUGAGUAACACGUGGGUAACCUGCCCAUAAGAGGGGGGAUAACAUCCGGAAACGGGUGCUAAUACCGCAUAGUUUUCUUGAUCGCAUGAUUGAGAAAGGAAAGACGGCCUUUGUGCUGUCGCUUAUGGAUGGACCCGCGGCGUAUUAGUUAGUUGGUGAGGUAACGGCUCACCAAGACGAUGAUACGUAGCCGACCUGAGAGGGUGAUCGGCCACAUUGGGACUGAGACACGGCCCAAACUCCUACGGGAGGCAGCAGUAGGGAAUCUUCCGCAAUGGACGAAAGUCUGACGGAGCAACGCCGCGUGAGUGAAGAAAGGUUUUCGGAUCGUAAAACUCUGUUGUCAGAGAAGAACAAGUUGGAGAGUAACUGCUCCAGCCUUGACGGUAUCUGACCAGAAAGCCACGGCUAACUACGUGCCAGCAGCCGC